GAUGAACGCUGGCGGCGUGCCUAAUACAUGCAAGUCGAGCGAACAGACGAGGAGCUUGCUCCUCUGACGUUAGCGGCGGACGGGUGAGUAACACGUGGAUAACCUACCUAUAAUACUGGGAUAACUUCGGGAAACCGGAGCUAAUCCCGUAUAAUCUAUUGAACCGCAUGGUUCAAUAGUGAAAGACGGUUUUGCUGUCACUUAUAGAUGGAUCCGCGCCGCAUUAGCUAGUUGGUAAGGUAACGGCUUACCAAGGCAACGAUGCGUAGCCGACGUGAGAGGGUGAUCGGCCACACUGGAACUGAGACACGGUCCAGACUCCUACGGGAGGCAGCAGUAGGGAAUCUUCCGCAAUGGGCGAAAGCCUGACGGAGCAACGCCGCGUGAGUGAUGAAGGUCUUCGGAUCGUAAAACUCUGUUAUUAGGGAAGAACAAAUGUGUAAGUAACUAUGCACGUCUUGACGGUACCUAAUCAGAAAGCCACGGCUAACUACGUG
rnacentral:rRNA from 1 species